rnacentral:rRNA from 1 species
UACGUAGGGUGCGAGCGUUGUCCGGAAUUACUGGGCGUAAAGAGCUCGUAGGCGGCUUGUCGCGUUGUUCGUGAAAAUUUACCGCUCAACGGUGAACUUGCGGGCGAUACGGGCAGGCUAGAGUACUGCAGGGGAGACUGGAAUUCCUGGUGUAGCGGUGAAAUGCGCAGAUAUCAGGAGGAACACCGGUGGCGAAGGCGGAUCUCUGGGCCGAUACUGACGCUGAGGAGCGAAAGCGUGGGGAGCGAACAGG